UACAGAGGUCUCAAGCGUUGUUCGGAUUCAUUGGGCGUAAAGGGUGUGUAGGUGGCGCGCUAAGUCGGGUGUGAAAUUUCGGAGCUUAACUCCGAAACUGCAUUCGAUACUGGCGUGCUUGAGGACUGGAGAGGAGACUGGAAUUCAUGGUGUAGCAGUGAAAUGCGUAGAGAUCAUGAGGAAGACCAGUGGCGAAGGCGGGUCUCUGGACAGUUCCCGACACUGAGGCACGAAGGCCAGGGGAGCAAACGGG
rnacentral:rRNA from 1 species